AUGGAGGAUACCAUCGACAAGUUCCUGAUACGUGUUGAGGGCCCUGAGCUUGACGACAAGCCGCACAAGCUCAAACAGCUUGUGAAGAAGAUUUGUGACUUGUUCAACAAGGGCAAGGCGCGACAUGCCAUCGGAAAAGAGAUCAAAGGCAUCAAGGCCAGCGUCCAGGAGGUGGCUGCCCGGCGUGACCGGUACAAGGUCAAAGAUGUGGUUCCUAAUCCAACUGGCCCAAUCAUGGUUGACCCUCGCCUAUCAGCUCUGUACAAGGACCGGAAAGAGCUCGUUGGCAUUGAUGAUUCAGUGAAUGAGCUAACCGAGAAGCUGAGUGACGAGGAUGCUGAUCUGUCCAAGCAACUCAAGAUACUCUCUAUUUUUGGAUUCGGAGGCCUUGGCAAGACAACACUUGCCAAAGCAUUGUAUGAUAAUCGCCACGCGCAGUUCGAUUGCAGCGCUUUCGUUCCGGUAGGACAAAACCCUAGCGUGAAGAAAAUUCUCAAUGACAUACUCAAUGAAAUUGAUGGGAAAAAGUGCUUGGACUUGGAUGAAAGGCAGUUAAUCAACAAACUCCGAGGGUUACUCGAGAACAGAAGGUACCCACCCUAUUAUGUAAUUCAAAUUCAUCAAGUAGUUUGA
rnacentral:rRNA from 1 species